UUGGUUACUGAGAAGAUGCUUGUUGCCAUCUCUGUCUUGUGUCUCCUUAAUCAUGGCUGGUGGUUUCCCUGUGGUUAAGGGUGUCGUCCAAUUCUGGAGCAGCUGCCAUUUCCCACGGAUACUGAAUGAACUAGAAUCAACAACUGUUGUACUUUCAAAUUAUGGAUUCUGAUCUAAACACAAAACAGAAACACGCUUGGUGGAUCUCCCUGAUUCUUUUGGACCUCUCAGUGACUUUUUGGAGCCAGCAGCCAGGGUUGGGAGUUAUAUUUGUAAGGAAAAACUAAGGAGAAACCUGAAAAGUUGACUUGAGAGGCACUGUUAUUUCGAUCCUUCCAUAUAAACUUACUCAGGAUUUUUAACAAGGAGUUUUUGGAUGAAAUCUCUGGCCAAUGAUGAAACGGAAGCAAAUGUUUCUUCUGAAUAAUCCACAUUGACUUGAGAAACGUUGAGGUAUGUUUCCUGUUUAUCUGCUCCCAUAAAUGGAGAUUCAUGUACAAGCAACAUGUAUGAGAUUACACCUACACUCC